ACUAGUGUCGUUAUGAGGAGCAUCUUAUUUUGGUAAUCGUUUGAUAAAUUAUUUUAGUAGAAUUUGCUGUUUUAGACAUGUGGCAUGUGGUAUCCCACUAUACUUGGUAUAUGCUGUCAUACUAAUUCACUGUUUUAGACACGUGGCUUGUGAUAUCCCACUAAUUAGCUAUUCUAAACAUGUGACAAGUGGUAUGACCCUGUAUUGAUGUAUGUGAAAUGUCUUUCAGUUAUCAGAUAGUGUCAAGGAGUUGACAGUAUGGUGUCUGAUUUGAACCUGUGAUGGUGUCCGAUUUGAACCUGUAGAGAAGUAACAACAAUAUUCAAAACCAAAACCUAUUUAAACCAACCAAACCAAAACUAUCGACCAAAAACUAAUAUCUUGGCAUUGAUUUAUAUUAAACAUCUAUUAUAUAUAUGCGUGUGUUUUAUAUAAAUGUACUAGCUUGAGUAUAGUGUAUUUAAAAUAUUUUUUUCAACUAUUUUUAUUGAUGUUAUACUUAGUAUAAUGUAUUGUUAGUAUUUUAUAUACUUAGUAUUGUAAUAUACUUAGUAUUUUAUUGUAGUAUAGCUUGAGUAUAGUGUAUUUAAAAUAUUUUUUUUUCAACUAUUUUUAUUGUAAUUUAAAGUAUAUUGGAUUAAAUAUUAUAAAUA
rnacentral:lncRNA from 1 species